UACGGAGGGUGCAAGCGUUAUCCGGAUUUACUGGGUUUAAAGGGUGCGUAGGCGGGCCUGUAAGUCAGUGGUGAAAUCUUCCCGCUUAACGGGAAAACUGCCAUUGAUACUAUAGGUCUUGAAUUCAGUUGAGGUGGGCGGAAUGUGUCGUGUAGCGGUGAGAUGCUUAGAUAUGACACAGAACACCGAUUGCGAAGGCAGCUCGCUAAACUGACAUUGACGCUGAGGCACGAAAGCGUGGGGAUCAAACAGG
rnacentral:rRNA from 1 species